rnacentral:rRNA from 1 species
UGGGGAAUAUUGCACAAUGGGCGCAAGCCUGAUGCAGCCAUGCCGCGUGUGUGAAGAAGGCCUUCGGGUUGUAAAGCACUUUCAGCGAGGAGGAAGGUGGUGAGCUUAAUACGCUCAUCAAUUGACGUUACUCGCAGAAGAAGCACCGGCUAACUCCGUGCCAGCAGCCGCGGUAAUACGGAGGGUGCAAGCGUUAAUCGGAAUUACUGGGCGUAAAGCGCACGCAGGCGGUUUGUUAAGUCAGAUGUGAAAUCCCCGGGCUCAACCUGGGAACUGCAUUUGAAACUGGCAAGCUAGAGUCUCGUAGAGGGGGGUAGAAUUCCAGGUGUAGCGGUGAAAUGCGUAGAGAUCUGGAGGAAUACCGGUGGCGAAGGCGGCCCCCCUGGACGAAGACUGACGCUCAGGUGCGAAAAGCGUGGGGCAGCAAACAGGAUUAGAUACCCUGUAGUCCACGCUGUAAAACGAUGUCGAUUUUGGAGGUUGUGCCCUUGAGGCGUGGCUUCCGGAGCUAACGCGUUAAAUCGACCGCCUGGGGAGUAC